rnacentral:rRNA from 1 species
AGCAUCUAAGCGCGAAGCUGACCUUAAGAUGAGAUUUCCAUAAAGGGACGUAGCAGACGACUACGUAGAUAGGCUGCAGGUG